rnacentral:lncRNA from 1 species
CUCUUUCUUGUCCUCUCCAUGCCCGAGAUGCUCACGUUUUGUGGGGUGGGAGAGUGGCCAGAGAUGGGGUGAUGAUUAUGAUGAAGAAGGUGAAGAAGCAGAUGAGGAAGGGGAAGAAGGAGGAGAUGAGGAAAAUGAUCCAGACUAUGACCCAAAGAAGGAUCAAAACCCAACAGAGUGCAAGCAGCAGUGAAGCAGGAUGGUCUACCUUCCGCUUCCCUGGAAAGGAUGAAUUUACAUCAUUUGACAAGCCUAUUUUCAAGUUAUUUGUUGUUUGUUUGCUUGUUUUUGUUUUUGCAGCCUAAAAUAAAAAUUUCAAAUACAAAAAAAAAAAAAAAAGAGAGAUGGGGGUCUCGCUAUGUUGAUCAGGCUGGUCUCGAACUCCUAGACUCAAACGAUCCUCCCACCUCAGCCUCCCAAAGUGCUAGGAUUACAGAUGUGAGCCACCACGCCUAGCCUCCACCUGAGAGUUUU